GUGUGGGGACCCAGAGCACGCAGACCUCGCAGACCUCGCCGGCUUCACACUCACCUCGGUGUCUGCUGCACCCGCCGCUUCCUCUCCUAGGCCACGAGACCCAGCAGCUAGAAAUUCAGCAUGUCUAUUCUCAAGGUCCAUGCCAGGGAGAUCUUUGACUCUCGUGGGAAUCCCACUGUUGAAGUUGAUCUCUUCACCUCAAAAGGUCUCUUCAGAGCUGCUGUGCCCAGUGGUGCUUCAACUGGUAUCUAUGAGGCCCUAGAGCUCCGGGACAAUGAUAAGACUCGCUAUAUGGGGAAGGGUGUCUCAAAGGCUGUUGAGCACAUCAAUAAAACUAUUGCGCCUGCCCUGGUUAGCAAGAAACUGAACGUCACAGAACAAGAGAAGAUUGACAAACUGAUGAUCGAGAUGGAUGGAACAGAAAAUAAAUCUAAGUUUGGUGCGAACGCCAUUCUGGGGGUGUCCCUCGCCGUCUGCAAAGCUGGUGCUGUUGAGAAGGGGGUCCCCCUGUACCGCCACAUUGCUGACUUGGCUGGCAACUCUGAAGUCAUCCUGCCAGUCCCGGCUUUCAAUGUCAUCAAUGGCGGUUCUCAUGCUGGUAACAAGCUGGCCAUGCAGGAGUUCAUGAUCCUCCCAGUUGGUGCAGCAAACUUCAGGGAAGCCAUGCGCAUUGGAGCAGAGGUUUACCACAACCUGAAGAAUGUCAUCAAGGAGAAAUACGGGAAAGAUGCCACCAAUGUGGGGGAUGAAGGCGGGUUUGCUCCCAACAUCCUAGAGAAUAAAGAAGGCCUGGAGCUGCUGAAGACUGCUAUUGGGAAAGCUGGCUACACUGAUAAGGUGGUCAUUGGCAUGGACGUAGCGGCCUCCGAGUUCUUCAGGUCUGGGAAGUAUGACCUGGACUUCAAGUCUCCCGAUGACCCCAGCAGGUACAUCUCACCUGAUGAGCUGGCUGACCUGUACAAGUCCUUCAUCAAGGACUACCCAGUGGUGUCUAUUGAAGAUCCCUUUGACCAGGAUGACUGGGGAGCUUGGCAGAAGUUCACGGCCAGUGCAGGAAUCCAGGUAGUUGGGGAUGAUCUCACAGUGACCAACCCAAAGAGGAUUGCCAAGGCCAUGAACGAGAAGUCCUGCAACUGCCUCCUGCUCAAAGUCAACCAGAUUGGCUCUGUGACCGAGUCCCUUCAGGCGUGCAAGUUGGCCCAGGCCAAUGGUUGGGGUGUCAUGGUGUCUCAUCGUUCUGGGGAGACUGAAGAUACCUUCAUCGCUGACCUGGUUGUGGGGCUGUGCACUGGUCAGAUCAAGACUGGUGCCCCUUGCCGAUCUGAGCGCUUGGCCAAGUACAACCAGCUUCUCAGAAUUGAAGAGGAGCUGGGCAGCAAGGCUAAGUUUGCCGGCAGGAACUUCAGAAACCCCCUGGCCAAGUAAGCUGUGGGCAGGCAAGCCCUUCGGUCACCUGUUGGCUAAAUAGACCCCUCCCCUUCUGUCAGCUCGGGCAGCUCGAGGCCCCGACCAACGCUUGCAGGGGUCCCUGCUAGUUAGCGCCCCUCACCCACCGCCGUGGAGUCCGUGCCGCUUCCUUAGAACUUCUACAGAACCAAGCUCCCCGGAGCCCUGUUUGGCAGCUCUAGCUUUGCCGUCGUGUAAUUGGCCCAAAUCACUGUUUUUCUUGCCUUACUUUCCACCCAGUGUCUGGAGUCAUGUGAGCCUCGUGUCAUCUCCGGGGUGGCCACAGGCAAGAUGCCCCGUGGUUUUGUGCUUAAAAUAAAAAGCCUCAGUGACCCAUGAAAAAAAAAAAAAAAAAAAACAA